AUCAGUUUAGAUACAUGAGCCGUGGCAGCUUGGGAAUCAGUGUAGUCUGCAACAUGCUCAGUACUGGGGCAGUUGUCUGGCCAAACAGGGUAGAGUGCCGGGAGGGUUCCUGUGUAUGUUAUAUAUAUAUAUAUAUAUAUUAAAAGGAGAGAUAAAAUAACUACACAGAAUAAACAUGCGGCACAAGGCAAAUAAUGAGAUGCCCAAUAUAAAUGUUUUUCUCUGUAUUUCCACUUUCAUCCAGGAGGCGCCACCUCUUCCUUUUCUUAUUCCCCAUUCCUAUCCAGGUACUAAGGUGCUUACAGCGACAUUCUGAGGGUUGGAAUUGGAAGCGCAAGAGAACGGACGGCUGCAGUUGGGAGAUUCUCCUUAUAAAGCGUCACUGUGUAUGAGGGAAAUAUGCGGCCAAACGGGGGCCACAAGUGCCAGGGCCCAGGAGCGCAUUUAAAUGUAACGACCAUCUACCACAAUGGCGCCCAGAUUCUGUGAUUGUAUCCUGGACUGUGUGAGAGGUGUCUGCGCACCGUUCAGGUACAAGAAGAAGAAGCCUGGAAAGUUUGCCCAUAUGGAGACGGUCGUUUACGUGGUAAAGGACGAAUCCAUAACUUUUCUCCCAACGGGGACUAGUUAUUAGGAUUCGUAGGUAAGUAGUUAGGUAAGUAAUUAGGUUAGGUUU